rnacentral:rRNA from 1 species
GUUAGGAAUAUUGGACAAUGGGCGCAAGCCUGAUCCAGCCAUGCCGCGUGAGUGAUGAAGGCCUUCGGGUUGUAAAGCUCUUUAGCCGAUGAUUAUAAUGACUGUAGUCGGAAAAUAAGCCCCGGCUAACUUCGUGCCAGCAGCCGCGGUAAUACGAAGGGGGCGAGCGUUAUUCGGAAUCACUGGGCGUAAAGCGUGCGUAGGCGGCUUUGCAAGUUGGGAGUAAAAGCCCAGGGCUCAACCCUGGAAUUGCUCUCAAAACUGCAAGGCUCGAAUUCGGGAGAGGAUAGCGGAAUUGUCAGUGUAGCAGUGAAAUGCGUAGAUAUUGACAGGAACACCAGUGGCGUAAGCGGCUAUCUGGACCGAUAUUGACGCUGAGGCACGAAAGCGUGGGGAUCAAACAGGAUUAGAUACCCGAGUAGUCC